rnacentral:rRNA from 1 species
GACGAACCGUGCAAACGUUGUUCGGAAUCACUGGGCUUAAAGGGCGCGUAGGCGGGCCAUCAAGUCAGGGGUGAAAUCCUCCGGCUCAACCGGAGAAUAGCCCUUGAUACUGGUGGUCUCGAGUGAGGUAGGGGCGUGCGGAACUGAUGGUGGAGCGGUGAAAUGUGUUGAUAUCAUCAGGAACUCCGGUGGCGAAAGCGGCGCGCUGGACCUUAACUGACGCUGAGGCGCGAAAGCUAGGGGAGCAAACGGGAUUAGAUACCCCGGUAGU